rnacentral:rRNA from 1 species
UACGAAGGGUGCAGCGUUACUCGGAAUUACUGGGCGUAAAGCGUGCGUAGGGGGUGAGUUAAGUCUGUCGUGAAAGCCCCGGGCUCAACCUGGGAAUGGCGAUGGAUACUGGCUCGCUAGAGUGCGGUAGAGGAGAGUGGAAUUCCCGGUGUAGCAGUGAAAUGCGUAGAGAUCGGGAGGAACAUCAGUUGCGAAGGCGGCUCUCUGGACCAGCACUGACACUGAGGCACGAAAGCGUGGGGAGCAAACAGG